rnacentral:rRNA from 1 species
CCUACGGGAUGCAGCAGUAGGGAAUAUUGCUCAAUGGGGGAAACCCUGAAGCAGCAACGCCGCGUGGAGGAUGAAGGUUUUCGGAUUGUAAACUCCUUUUGUUAGAGAAGAUAAUGACGGUAUCUAACGAAUAAGCAACGGCUAACUCCGUGCCAGCAGCCGCGGUAAUACGGAGGGUGCAAGCGUUACUCGGAAUCACUGGGCGUAAAGGGCGCGUAGGCGGGAUAGCAAGUCAGAUGUGAAAUCCUAUGGCUUAACCAUAGAACUGCAUUUGAAACUGUUAUUCUAGAGUAUGGGAGAGGUAGGUGGAAUGCUUGGUGUAGGGGUAAAAUCCGUAGAGAUCAAGAGGAAUACUCAUUGCGAAGGCGACCUGCUAGAACAUAACUGACGCUGAUGCGCGAAAGCGUGGGGAGCAAACAGGAUUAGAUACCCUAGUAGUC